AACGUAGGAGACGAACGUUAUCCGUAGUUACUGGGCGUAAAGGGCGUGCAGGCGGUCUGAUAAGUUCGGCGUGAAAUAUUCCGGCUUAACCGGGAUAGGUCGUCGGAGACUGUCGGACUAGAGGGUGAUAGAGGCGUGUGGAAUUCCGGGUGUAGUGGUGAAAUGCGUAGAUAUAGGAAGGAAUACCAGUGGCGGAAGGCGGCCUCCUGGAUCGAUACUGACGCUGAGGCGCGAAAGCGUGGGGAGCAAACAGG
rnacentral:rRNA from 1 species